rnacentral:rRNA from 1 species
AGAGUUUGAUCAUGGCUCAGGAUGAACGCUAGCUACAGGCUUAACACAUGCAAGUCGAGGGGAAACGACAUCGAAAGCUUGCUUUUGAUGGGCGUCGACCGGCGCACGGGUGAGUAACGCGUAUCCAACCUGCCCACCACUUGGGGAUAACCUUGCGAAAGUAAGACUAAUACCCAAUGAUAUCUCUAGAAGACAUCUGAAAGAGAUUAAAGAUUUAUCGGUGAUGGAUGGGGAUGCGUCUGAUUAGCUUGUUGGCGGGGUAACGGCCCACCAAGGCGACGAUCGGUAGCCGGACUGAGAGGUUGAACGGCCACAUUGGGACUGAGACACGGCCCAGACUCCUACGGGAGGCAGCA